AUUGUGUGUAACUACAUCACCAAACAGCCCCUAAUUCAGUGACAAGCUUCAGUAUAUAAGAUGACUCACUCACACACUCUGACCAGUUCAUCAACUGGUAACAAACAAACCUCAGAUCCAGGCUCAGAUUUGGUGCUUUCAGCGUCUGAAGAUGUGUUCGAGUCUCUCCACCAGCCGCCUGAUCCUUCUGCUCUCCCUCGGUGUGGUGAUGCUCAUCAUCGUAUCAGAAGGGGCUGGCCAUGUGGAGAGUUCCUGCUAUCAUGCUGCUGAGUACUCUAAAACUAGGAAAAACAGCCAUGUUGCACCUAACUGGACAAAAAACAUCAUCAGCUGCUUUAAACAAGACCAACAGGGCUGUGCACCUGGCUACCUGGUUAAAACAAGAGGAGGAAAGACAUUUUUUCUCAAACCAGACACGAA
ensembl:lncRNA